GCAGGCGCGAAAACUUCGCAAUGCGCGAAAGCGUGACGAGGUCAACCCGAGUGCUGUCCGCUGAGGAUAGCUUUUCUUUGGUGUAAGGAGCCAGAGGAAUAAGAGGAGGGUAAGUCUGGUGUCAGCCGCCGCGGUAAUACCAGCUUCUCGAGUGGUGGGGGCGAUUAUUGGGCCUAAAGCGUCCGUAGCCCGCUUGUCAAGUCUUCCGUCAAAUCCGACGAUUUAAUCGUUGGGCCGCGGAGGAUACUGUCAAGCUAGGGGGCGGAAGAGGCUGGCGGUAUCCCCAGGGUAGGGGUGAAAUCCUAUAAUCCAGGGAGGACCACCAGUGGCGAAGGCGGCCAGCUAGAACGCGCCCGACGGUGAGGGACGAAAGCUGGGGGAGCAAACCGGAUUAGAUACCCGGGUAGUCCCAGCUGUAAACGAUGCAGACUAGGUGUUGGAACGGCUACGUGCCGCUUCAGUGCCGCAGAGAAGUCAUUAAGUCUGCCGCCUGGGGAGUACGGCCGCAAGGCUGAAACUUAAAGGAAUUGGCGGGGGAGCACCACAAGGGUGAAGCCUGCGGUUUAAUUGGAGUCAACGCCGGGAACCUUACCGGGAGUGACA
rnacentral:rRNA from 1 species